UCCCUGGUGGCUUCAGUGGGUUAAGGAUAUGGCAUUGUCACUGCUAUGGUGCAGGUUCAAUCCCUGGCCUGGGAG
rnacentral:tRNA from 1 species